rnacentral:rRNA from 1 species
UAGGGAAUCUUCCGCAAUGGGCGAAAGCCUGACGGAGCAACGCCGCGUGAGUGAUGAAGGUCUUCGGAUCGUAAAACUCUGUUAUUAGGGAAGAACAAAUGUGUAAGUAACUAUGCACGUCUUGACGGUAGCUAAUCAGAAAGCCACGGCUAACUACGUGCCAGCAGCCGCGGUAAUACGUAGGUGGCAAGCGUUAUCCGGAAUUAUUGGGCGUAAAGCGCGCGUAGGCGGUUUUUUAAGUCUGAUGUGAAAGCCCACGGCUCAACCGUGGAGGGUCAUUGGAAACUGGAAAACUUGAGUGCAGAAGAGGAAAGUGGAAUUCCAUGUGUAGCGGUGAAAUGCGCAGAGAUAUGGAGGAACACCAGUGGCGAAGGCGACUUUCUGGUCUGUAACUGACGCUGAUGUGCGAAAGCGUGGGGAUCAAACAGG